GACGAACGCUGGCGGCGUGCUUAACACAUGCAAGUCGAACGAUGAAGCCCAGCUUGCUGGGUGGAAGAGUGGCGAACGGGUGAGUAACACGUGAGUAACCUGCCCCGAACUCUGGGAUAAGCACCGGAAACGGUGUCUAAUACUGGAUAUGCACCAUGGCCGCAUGGCCUGUGGUGGGAAAGAUUUAUCGGUUCGGGAUGGACUCACGGCCUAUCAGCUAGUUGGUGAGGUAACGGCCCACCAAGGCGACGACGGGUAGCCGGCCUGAGAGGGUGACCGGCCACACUGGGACUGAGACACGGCCCAGACUCCUACGGGAGGCAGCAGUGGGGAAUAUUGCACAAUGGGCGCAAGCCUGACGCAGCAACGCCGCGUGAGGGAUGACGGCCUUCGGGUUGUAAACCUCUUUUAGUAGGGAAGAAGCGAAAGUGACGGUACCUGCAGAAAAAGCACCGGCUAACUACGUGCCAGCAGCCGCCGUAA
rnacentral:rRNA from 1 species